GUGGGGCUGGGGCUCAGUGGUAGAGCGCUUGUCUGGCUCGCGUGGGGCGCUGGGUUCGAUCCUCAGCACCACA
rnacentral:tRNA from 1 species